rnacentral:lncRNA from 1 species
GGGGUGGGGGGGUGCGGAUCCGGAAGGAAACUCGCGCCGGUAGCCGUGCCGCGGAGCGCGGAGUGUUGAAUGAUGCGUGAGGAGGCGUCGGUAACCGCGGGAACCGGCGGGCGUUUGUGAAUCGUGGCGCCCACCCGCGCCCCGCAGCCAAGACGCGCGUUUACAAAUACUACUUGCUACCCGCUCAGUCGUAGCCGGACCUUCCUCGGGAGCCCCGUUUCCGCUGGCCCGCGCCGUCCCGCGAUAUCCCGCCGUAAAUCCGCCCUUUCCGCCUCACGUGCCCAGGAUUAUCUCGUCUAAAAAAGCAGUGCUUUCCAUAAAUUUAAGAUUUUUUUUUUUUAUAAGUAGGUAGAAAGUCAUACAUGCUUGUUACAACAUUGGUUUUAAUCGACAGUUGGAGUGUUUUCAUUUUGAAAUCAAUUUUGAACUUGCGAAAAGAAAAUUACAUUCUCAAGAAUUACAACUGCUCCUACAAAAAUUUGAUCAGGUUCAUUCGUUGUGCUCAAAUAAUUUCAUUGGUCGAGGAAAAUUCAAUCUUUUUUUUAUAAAUAGAUAUCGUCCUGAAAAAUAUACAUUUUUUGUUUAAAUCGAAAGCAAAGGUGUUAAUAUAUUUCACAGUGCAAGUACCAUUGUGCCAUAAAGUGACUGAUCCACGCUGUCCAUUAGUCGUGAUUUUCCAUUUUUCAUGGAUCUGAUUUAAGCAAUAGUGUACUCAGUGCUUGAGAAAUCGUAUUUUUUUAUCCAAAUCGCCUUCGUUAUGAAAUAGUGAUUCUAUUAGUACUGAGUCGUGGUCGAUAAGCUCUCAACGGCAUUUACAUGAACCACAUACCUACUCAGCACAGUUACCAACCGAUAAGUGAUUUUUGAACGCGGCAACACUAGUUGCCACAACCACUAUUGUUUUAAGUUGACGCUGUCUUUAAAUGCUGUCUCCCCGAGGUACGCUCACCAGCUCGUUGCAGGAUUCAUGACUCUCAAUGCCACAAUAUAUGAUUGCAAAAGGAGAACGCAUCGCUUGAAGCCAGCGCAUAAGAUUGAACCCGCACCCUUGAGCGAAACUUUUUUGAAUAUGUUUCUUGUGUCGAGGCUGCGCGAGGCGAAGGUGCGACGACGAUUGGAGGAUGAACGAGUUCAGCAAGCAGCCGGUAGAGAUCGCUCCAAGUCGCUGUGCGUCGAGCGACUCGCGUCCUUGCUCCACGGAUACGAUCCUGCAACGCUGGCCGCCCGCCAGCUCAACCUCCACAACAUCCAAAAAGGAGAGCUUCCUCUGCCAUGUGAGUUUUCUAUCUUUGUUUUGUCGUUUCAACUAUUGGCUCCGCACCUACAAUCAAUCGGAAGCAGCAAGUACAUGGUUGAAAAAUUUGUUUAGAGAUUGAAGAAAACAUUUGUCUUUGUUUAAAGACAUUUUUGUUGGUGUAAACCUAUUCUCAGAGUGAUGUAUUUGUAUUUAUUUAUUUUACUUUUCUCAAAGGAAAUGAUAUUA